AGAGUUUGAUCCUGGCUCAGAUUGAACGCUGGCGGCAUGCCUUACACAUGCAAGUCGAACGGCAGCACGAGAGCUUGCUCUUGGUGGCGAGUGGCGAACGGGUGAGUAAUAUAUCGGAACGUACCCUAGAGUGGGGGAUAACGCAGCGAAAGUUGCGCUAAUACCGCAUACGAUCUACGGAUGAAAGUGGGGGAUCGCAAGACCUCAUGCUCAUGGAGCGGCCGAUAUCUGAUUAGCUAGUUGGUAGGGUAAAAGCCUACCAAGGCUUCGAUCAGUAGCUGGUCUGAGAGGACGACCAGCCACACUGGAACUGAGACACGGUCCAGACUCCUACGGGAGGCAGCAGUGGGGAAUUUUGGACAAUGGGCGCAAGCCUGAUCCAGCAAUGCCGCGUGAGUGAAGAAGGCCUUCGGGUUGUAAAGCUCUUUUGUCAGGGAAGAAACGGUGGACUCUAAUACAGAUCACUAAUGACGGUACCUGAAGAAUAAGCACCGGCUAACUACGUGCCAGCAGCCGCGGUAAUACGUAGGGUGCAAGCGUUAAUCGGAAUUACUGGGCGUAAAGCGUGCGCAGGCGGUUGUGCAAGACAGAUGUGAAAUCCCCGGGCUCAACCUGGGAAUUGCAUUUGUGACUGCACGGCUAGAGUGUGUCAGAGGGGGGUAGAAUUCCACGUGUAGCAGUGAAAUGCGUAGAGAUGUGGAGGAAUACCGAUGGCGAAGGCAGCCCCCUGGGAUAACACUGACGCUCAUGCACGAAAGCGUGGGGAGCAAACAGGAUUAGAUACCCUGGUAGUCCACGCCCUAAACGAUGUCUACUAGUUGUUGGGUCUUAAUUGACUUAGUAACGCAGCUAACGCGUGAAGUAGACCGCCUGGGGAGUACGGUCGCAAGAUUAAAACUCAAAGGAAUUGACGGGGACCCGCACAAGCGGUGGAUGAUGUGGAUUAAUUCGAUGCAACGCGAAAAACCUUACCUACCCUUGACAUGUACGGAAUCCCUGAGAGAUUAGGGAGUGCUCGAAAGAGAGCCGUAACACAGGUGCUGCAUGGCUGUCGUCAGCUCGUGUCGUGAGAUGUUGGGUUAAGUCCCGCAACGAGCGCAACCCUUGUCAUUAGUUGCUACGAAAGGGCACUCUAAUGAGACUGCCGGUGACAAACCGGAGGAAGGUGGGGAUGACGUCAAGUCCUCAUGGCCCUUAUGGGUAGGGCUUCACACGUCAUACAAUGGUACAUACAGAGGGCCGCCAACCCGCGAGGGGGAGCUAAUCCCAGAAAGUGUAUCGUAGUCCGGAUUGUAGUCUGCAACUCGACUACAUGAAGUUGGAAUCGCUAGUAAUCGCGGAUCAGCAUGUCGCGGUGAAUACGUUCCCGGGUCUUGUACACACCGCCCGUCACACCAUGGGAGCGGGUUUCACCAGAAGUAGGUAGCCUAACCGUAAGGAGGGCGCUUACCACGGUGGGAUUCGUGACUGGGGUGAAGUCGAAACAAGGUAGCCGUAUCGGAAGGUGCGGCUG
rnacentral:rRNA from 1 species